CUCAAAUAAUUGGCCAAACUCUAAAAUAUUAUUUUUUCACCAUUUUUCUGUUUCCAUGGUGAUGGCAGCCAUUUUUUAGUUCCAAAGUCAAAAAGUCUAAAGGAAAUUCAGGGUUCCUUGUUAUAGUGCACUAUCAUUCAGAUUGGUUCCUUUAGCUCUGAGAAAGCGGGCGGACAAAAUUAGGUGGAAGAAAAAUAAUAAUAAUAAUAAUAAUACAGAAAAAGAAACAGAGGAAAAGCAAUAUGUCACCCGACAUUGUCGAUCGGGUGACAUAAUAAGAAUAAUAAAAA
rnacentral:lncRNA from 1 species